GGUUAAGCGACUAAGCGUACACGGUGGAUGCCCUGGCAGUCAGAGGCGAUGAAGGACGUGCUAAUCUGCGAUAAGCGCCGGUAAGGUGAUAUGAACCGUUAUAACCGGCGAUUUCCGAAUGGGGAAACCCAGUGUGACUCGUCACACUAUCAUUAACUGAAUCCAUAGGUUAAUGAGGCGAACCGGGGGAACUGAAACAUCUAAGUACCCCGAGGAAAAGAAAUCAACCGAGAUUCCCCCAGUAGCGGCGAGCGAACGGGGAGGAGCCCAGAGCCUGAAUCAGCAUGUGUGUUAGUGGAAGCGUCUGGAAAGGCGCGCGAUACAGGGUGACAGCCCCGUACACAAAAGCGCAUGUGCUGUGAGCUCGAUGAGUAGGGCGGGACACGUGGUAUCCUGUCUGAAUAUGGGGGGACCAUCCUCCAAGGCUAAAUACUCCUGACUGACCGAUAGUGAACCAGUACCGUGAGGGAAAGGCGAAAAGAACCCCGGCGAGGGGAGUGAAAAAGAACCUGAAACCGUGUACGUACAAGCAGUGGGAGCACAGGUUUACCUGUGUGACUGCGUACCUUUUGUAUAAUGGGUCAGCGACUUAUAUUCUGUAGCAAGGUUAACCGAAUAGGGGAGCCGGAGGGAAACCGAGUCUUAACCGGGCGUUAAGUUGCAGGGUAUAGACCCGAAACCCGGUGAUCUAGCCAUGGGCAGGUUGAAGGUUGGGUAACACUAACUGGAGGACCGAACCGACUAAUGUUGAAAAAUUAGCGGAUGACCUGUGGCUGGGGGUGAAAGGCCAAUCAAACCGGGAGAUAGCUGGUUCUCCCCGAAAGCUAUUUAGGUAGCGCCUCGUGAAUUCAUCUCCGGGGGUAGAGCACUGUUUCGGCUAGGGGGCCAUCCCGGCUUACCAACCCGAUGCAAACUGCGAAUACCGGAGAAUGUUAUCACGGGAGACACACGGCGGGUGCUAACGUCCGUCGUGAAGAGGGAAACAACCCAGACCGCCAGCUAAGGUCCCAAAGUCAUGGUUAAGUGGGAAACGAUGUGGGAAGGCCCAGACAGCCAGGAUGUUGGCUUAGAAGCAGCCAUCAUUUAAAGAAAGCGUAAUAGCUCACUGGUCGAGUCGGCCUGCGCGGAAGAUGUAACGGGGCUAAACCAUGCACCGAAGCUGCGGCAGCGACACUCAGGUGUUGUUGGGUAGGGGAGCGUUCUGUAAGCCUGCGAAGGUGGCCUGUGAGGGUUGCUGGAGGUAUCAGAAGUG
rnacentral:rRNA from 1 species